UACGUAGGGGGCAAGCGUUGUCCGGAAUCAUUGGGCGUAAAGCGCGCGUAGGCGGCCCGGUAAGUCCGCUGUGAAAGUCAAAGGCUCAACCGUUGAAUGCCGGUGGAUACUGUCGGGCUAGAGUCCGGAAGAGGCGAGUGGAAUUCCUGGUGUAGCGGUGGAAUGCGCAGAUAUCAGGAGGAACACCAAUAGCGAAGGCAGCUCGCUGGGACGGUACUGACGCUAAGGCGCGAAAGCGUGGGGAGCGAACAGG
rnacentral:rRNA from 1 species